CAUUCAGGAAAAAUAGUGCAUUUCAUCUGGGUGUAGGGCAGAGUUUCCUUCGUUUCGCAUUUUCUUUUCUAUCCUGCUCAAUGUGGAGAUUUUGUUUAAAGGUUUCUCUAUACCUCCCAUGACCAGCUACCCCAACUUUACUCCUACCGGGUGGUUACUCUUUGUAUAUCAUCCCUCUCAAGGUUGGGACAUUUAAUUUCCUUCUUAGAUAUCUUGGUCAUGUUUUUUGCAAUUUUGUUCAUUUUGAAACAUGGUAUUUGAUAUGCUACCAUUUCAUACAAGGGCUUUCAAGAGAUACUAAGUUGUUUUAUUGUUGUGCUUUUUUGUUUUGUUUUUUAUUUGCUGCUAUAUUGUUAUUGUCCCCAGACAUUGGUAUGGUAUCCUCCAUAUCAUAUUAUGAUUCAUAAAGUUAUGAUGAGUCUGGAAAAUUAACGAGUCAUUCGUUACAUAUGAUGGUUAAUUUAAUUGUUUGUGUGCC